UAGGAUGUGGUGUAAUGGGAGCACAAAGGGUUUUGAGUUCUCUGGUAUAGGUUCGAGUCCUGUUGUCCUAG
rfam:Sarcophilus harrisii ctg7180002247992, whole genome shotgun sequence.